rnacentral:rRNA from 2 species
UCUGGUGUCAGCCGCCGCGGUAAAACCAGCACCUCAAGUGGUCAGGAUGAUUAUUGGGCCUAAAGCAUCCGUAGCCUGCUUUGUUAGUUUUCGGUUAAAUCCAUACGCUCAACGUAUGGGCUGCCGGGAAUACUGCAAAGCUAGGGAGUGGGAGAGGUAGACGGUACUCGGUAGGAAGGGGUAAAAUCCUUUGAUCUAUUGAUGACCACCUGUGGCGAAGGCGGUCUACCAGAACACGUCCGACGGUGAGGGAUGAAAGCUGGGGGAGCAGACCGGAUUAGAUACCCGGGUAGUCCCAGCUGUAAACUAUGCAAACUCGGUGAUGCAUUGGCUUGAUGCCAAUGCAGUGCCGCAGGGAAGCCGUUAAGUUUGCCGCCUGGGAAGUACGUACGCAAGUAUGAAACUUAAAGGAAUUGGCGGGGGAGCACCACAAGGGGUGAAGCCUGCGGUUCAAUUGGAGUCAACGCCAGAAAUCUUACCCGGAGAGACAGCAGAAUGAAGGUCAAGCUGAAGACUUUACCAGACAAGCU